GGAUACAUGAGAAGGAAGCUUCUCUCUGGUUCCAUAUACCACCCUUCUAGCUUUAGAAAUCAAAAUACCACUUCCUGGUCAUGGGUUUUCUCCUCAAUGAGAAAGGAUGGAUCACUGGGGAGGAGGAGGAUUAUAUUAAAAAACCGAAGUGAUAUAAAAAUCUACGAUCAGCAUCCACUAUGUUGAGGUCUUGUGCUACAUGUUGGUGAUACAAAUUAAGAUGAAUUGAAACAACUCUACAACUACCAAGAAGCUUAACAGGGCAGGAGUACACAGAAAGUUUGAGGCCAAAUCACCCCAUCUUCUUGCAUAUGCUCACCUCAUCUAGACCCGGCUUCACUGUCAUGGGGACAGAAAGCAUCUGAAGCUGAUGCAAACUCCAGAUGAAGACUCAGGGGGCCCUCUACUUACAUAAUGUCUAUGGAUUACUCAAUUCCUUUCAUUGAAAGAAAAUACAGAGAGCCAUGGAUUCUACCAGGGAUUGGUUUAAAUCACCCCACGCCCAAUCUGAACACUGAAAAUUCAGACGCCGGCUCUGGAUUGCAAUAAUAAGAGAGAAGGAAAAGUUCUCAUCCCCUGCCCCAUUAAGACAUCAGCACCAAAGUAGAGCUAGUUUCCACUCGGUGUCAAUAUGUGCCCUUGCUUAGAACCCAUUUCACCCAAAAGAGGAAAGGAAAAAUUAACUUUCGUGUGUGUCUCAUGUCUCUGCUGAGAUGCCUAAGCCUUUAUAAGCCCUUCUUGGACUCGAGGUGAUGCUGAGAUAGCACCUCUGAACAAUUAGAGCAUUAAAAGAAAAAAAGCUUAACGCACUCUAUGCUUCAUUUUUUGUUCCAGAAAAGAAGUGAAGGGUGCCAGUGCUCCGCUCUGCCCCAAUAGAUGUUAGCCACUGACGUGCCAAGGGGGAGGUUUGGGGAUCAAGUCUGACAAAGAAUUCCUCAGGGUUUUCGAGGAACACAAUGACACAUGAUCAUUUAAGGAUUUUAAGGUCUAUUUUUUCAACAUAUAUCCAUUCUUCUGUACAUACAUCAUCAGAUUGAAACAUGCCUCAGAGUUAUACAUUCCCUAAGCCACAAAAGAAUGAGUUGGCAAAGGAAGUCUUCAGAGCUCAGCAAGUCAGCAUGUCGAUGUAACAUAUGCAGGCUCUACUCGGAUUAAGAUAUUGCCAGUGGAGAGAAAUCACAAGGUCUAGCCAGCUUCUCUCCCUCCCUGAGCCCGCCAAAAAGAUUGAGUGCACUUUCCUGACAUUUGUUCCCAAUAGAUAGAUAUAUAUUGUGAUGGGGUAUUAUGAGAGACAAUGUCUUAAAAGAAGAGG